rnacentral:rRNA from 1 species
AUUGAACGCUGGCGGCAGGCCUAACACAUGCAAGUCGAGCGGAUGAAGGGAGCUUGCUCCUGGAUUCAGCGGCGGACGGGUGAGUAAUUCCUAGGAAUCUGCCUUGUAUUUGGGGAUAACGUCCGGAAACGGGCGCUAAUACCGCAUACGUCCUGAGGUAGAAAGUGGGGGAUCUUCGGACCUCACGCUAUCAGAUGAGCCUAGGUCGGAUUAGCUAGUUGGUGGGGUAAGGGCUUACCAAGGCGACGAUCCGUAACUGGUCUGAGAGGAUGAUCAGUCACACUGGAACUGAGACACGGUCCAGACUCCUACGGGAGGCAGCAGUGGGGAAUCUUGCGCAAUGGGCGAAAGCUUGACCCAGCAAUGCCGCGUGUGUGAAGAAGGUCUUCGGAUUGUAAAGCACUUUAAGUUGGGAGGAAGGGCAGUAAGUGAAUACCUUGCUGUUUUGACGUUACCAACAGAAUAAGCACCGGCUAACUUCGUG